GACGAACGCUGGCGGCGUGCCUAAUACAUGCAAGUUGAGCGCUGAAGGUUGGUACUUGUACCAACUGGAUGAGCAGCGAACGGGUGAGUAACGCGUGGGGAAUCUGCCUUUGAGCGGGGGACAACAUUUGGAAACGAAUGCUAAUACCGCAUAAAAACUUUAAACACAAGUUUUAAGUUUGAAAGAUGCAAUUGCAUCACUCAAAGAUGAUCCCGCGUUGUAUUAGCUAGUUGGUGAGGCAAAGGCUCACCAAGGCGAUGAUACAUAGCCGACCUGAGAGGGUGAUCGGCCACAUUGGGACUGAGACACGGCCGAAACUCCUACGGGAGGCAGCAGUAGGGAAUCUUCGGCAAUGGACGAAAGUCUGACCGAGCAACGCCGCGUGAGUGAAGAAGGUUUUCGGAUCGUAAAACUCUGUUGGUAGAGAAGAACGUUGGUGAGAGUGGAAAGCUCAUCAAGUGACGGUAACUACCCAGAAAGGGACGGCUAACUACGUG
rnacentral:rRNA from 1 species